AUUAGGUUUAAAAUCAAAUAAUUUGGCGGUAUCUUAUCCUAAUAGAGGAACUUGAUCUUUAAUCGAUAAUCCCCGUCUGAUCUUACUUGUAUUAACGUUUGUAUACCGUUGUUGUUAGAUUACCUUAAAUAGCUAGCCAGUUUUCUUAAUAGAAUUACUUAGGGUUGUUUUGUUACUUCAAAUCAAGGUGCAGUUUAUGUAUAAGUUGAGUUGAGUUACUUUGGGUUAGAUUUGGAUUAUAAAAUGAAAUUUUAUUUGAAAUAGGAUUUAUUAGUAAGUUUUUAUUAAUUAGAUUAGCUGAAAAGGGGUCUGAGAUAUGUACAAAUCGCCCGUCACUCUGGUUUUAACAUCAGAUAAGUCGUAACAAAGUAGGUGUAAGGGAACUUGUACCUAGAUGC
rnacentral:rRNA from 1 species